CACAAACCCUCUUUUCUAUCUCUCUCUUUCUCUCAUCUCCUUCAAUCAAGCCCAAAAACCUCCAAUAAUCCUCCAUCCAUGGCGGCCGAUCCCACUCAGCUUCAUCAACUCUCCUUGCUUCUGGGUUCCGAUCGUACCCACUUCGAAACCCUAAUUUCCCAUCUCAUGUCCUCCUCCAAUGACCAGCGUUCACAAGCCGAAUCCCUUUUCAACCUCUGCAAACAAGCCCACCCAGAUGCUCUUGCUCUCAAACUCGCCGAUCUUCUCCACCCCUCUGCUCACCCUGAGGCCCGUACCAUGUCUGCCAUUCUCCUCCGCCGUCAACUCAUUCGUGACGAUUCUUAUCUCUGGCCUCGUCUUACUCCCUCCACUCAAUCUACUCUUAAAUCUGUUUUGCUUUCCUCACUUCAAACCGAGGAAUCUAAAUCUAUUUCCAAAAAGUUGUGUGAUACCAUCGCUGAACUUGCUUCUGGGAUUUUGCCUGAUGGGG
rnacentral:misc_RNA from 1 species